UACGUAGGUGGCAAGCGUUAUCCGGAAUUAUUGGGCGUAAAGCGCGCGCAGGCGGUUUCUUAAGUCUGAUGUGAAAGCCCACGGCUCAACCGUGGAGGGUCAUUGGAAACUGGGGAACUUGAGUGCAGAAGAGAAAAGCGGAAUUCCACGUGUAGCGGUGAAAUGCGUAGAGAUGUGGAGGAACACCAGUGGCGAAGGCGGCGCUCUGGGCCGGAACUGACGCUGAGGAGCGAAAGCGUGGGUAGCAAACAGG
rnacentral:rRNA from 1 species